UGUCCAAGGCAUGGAGGGGGACAUAUAGACAAACAAAUCUGCUCACUCCACAUUUUCACAAAGUCAUUUCAACAUUCAAAGUUAGAAGAAGUAGAGUGUAGAGAGAAGGAGCUCACGGCUAAGAGCUAGCCAAGAGUAGUGAGUGAAUUUCAACUCCAAAAAAAUUAGUUUUCUUCCUCAAAUCAACUCCUCAUUUAGUGUACAAGAAUAUGUAGUAGUUGUUGAAACGAAACCAAGAAGUGUAGCACCUCAAUAGUGUUGAAAAUUCGUCCAAAGUGAAGAACAAGAUUGUAAGGAUAAGUGUUAUUGGGCAGCAAGUACAAGUAUAAUACGACUAAACGCUAAAGGUACAGACGCUCGUUUUGGAGAUCCGCCAGCGUAGGAUACCUAUUCAGCUAUUUUGGACUGCUCCUUUGUUUCGGAGCCUAGCUUGUGGUAUAACUCCCUUUUGUCGUAUAUGUAUGUGUUUAUUCGGGGUACGGCG